AUGCGAGUGGUUGAUGUUGCGACUCGUGCGGCAACGACGAUGGUGGUGUGCAGAACUGGGUCGCGGCUAUUAAGGGGUUUCUCAAACAACACAAAAGUGACUCCUACGACGACUCCUCUGAAUUGGACAGUUAUUUGGAGUACUACCCGUGGGACAUACAUUACUUUACGACUGACAAGUGUUGGAGUUCCUUUGCCAAUAAACUGA
rnacentral:rRNA from 1 species